rnacentral:lncRNA from 1 species
UACAACACAGGAUGGCACAUGCUUUCAUGGGCAGAGAGGCACAGAAGACUGUGGAAUCAGGAAAGGCACCUGACUCACACUUAGGUUAGCCCUUUGAUGCUGUAUUAAGGAUUUUUCACUCUAGAUGCUGCUCAAAAGGAGGAAUGGAUGGUAUGGAGAUGUUUCAGAAGGACCACACCUUCUUGUCCACAGAUCCACAGUAACAGCUUGGAAUUGUAGAAAGGCCCCAGAGUGGCCUGAACACUGCACACUGUGGUCCUCCUUUUAAAGGUUCUUCUCCAGGAAGUGCAGGGCUCUGGGGCCUCCCUGCUCUCUGCCCCAGGCUUAGUGCAGAUGUAGUAACAACCCUUUUAACUGGGAGUCUCCACAACCAUCAACCAGCACAUCAUGUAAUCCUGGGUGUGGCAAGAUCCCAUGUGCUCCCUUGCAUUUCCAAGCCCUGCUGCAGUUAGGUGGGACUGCAUGACUAGUUCUGGCCUAUGGGCUAUGACCAGCAAGAAUGUCUAUCAUUUCUGAGACAAAGCUUUUAAUUACUGAUGCAAGACAUCCUCAUCUCAGUGCUCUCCCCACUGCCAUGGUGACUGAGAUGGGCUCAUAGCUCAGGUGGUACAGGUACACAAAUGUGAAACCUCCAACAGCCUGAGUCUUGAAUGGAGCAGAAUUCUCCACCAAGUAGCAUAAGCAAAUAAACUUUUCUUAAGACACUGAGAUUUGGAGAUUACUGACCAAUCUAGUAGAUCAAGGAGAGUGCUCAACGUCUGAUGCAAAGAGCUUCGGAAAAUUGUUGUAUAGUAGGAAGAAAUCAAUUCCUGCUAUUGGCAGCAAUGCCAAAGAGGAUAAGGGAACUCUGUAUAGUGUUUUGUUAUUUUCGAGGCACUUCAUGAGCACGAUUUAACUGAGUUCCUGAAAAGGCAAUGAGACAUCUGUGUUCUCAGACCUUAUUUCACACCUCCCUUCACCACAGGGGAUUGGUUUCACUACGUUAAUGGUGGCUGAAAAAGCAAAAAGAGGACAUUGAGGUAACUCAGAGAAAGAAACUGCAAGAAGCACACUACACCACUGGGCUGGAGCAACAAAGGGAUGGAACCGGGAUUGCUGAAAACUGGAAGUUUGGAGCAGGGCUCCCAUGGAGCUGGAACACAGGUCUUUAACAAGGAAGUGCUGCUUGUCGCCCUGGUGCCAUAGAAGUUCAUAGGGAAACCUCUGCCGAGCUGGGACUCAGACCUUUGAGGAGAUGUCGCUUAGCUCGUAUUGAUACCUCUGAAGGGUACAGUAAGGCUGGGUCUGGUUGUGCAGAAAAGACAAAAAGAAAAAGAAAAAA